GCCACUGCAACAAAUAUGGCCAAAUCUACCUGGAUCAGAUAACUUUUUCCCAACUGCGCAUCGGUACGAAACACCAAGAGUUUCGUUAAUCCAGUUAGCAAAAAUGUAUCUCCCAACGGGUACCGUGCAUCGGAACGAAUAUGAGGACUCAUCUGAUUUAACAAUCCGUAAACCAUCGAAUCCAGGUUUUCCUGAACCACCAUUGACGUCGGAUGUGAAUGAGUGCCAAAAUUCAGGUACCGUGAUCAUGCUAACACGAAUUCCGGCACCAAAUUUGAAAAAUUAAAUUGCACAGACAAAAUUUUCGGUGGAUUCGGAAGCAUCUCUACUGCUGAGACUGCGAAACAAAAACAAUAUUUGCAGAAACAGGUAUGGCCCGCAUAGAUGCCC